rnacentral:lncRNA from 1 species
AGAGCCUUGGCCAGUCCUAUCCCUGGGACUCACCUAUCCUCUUCUGGAGCAAGAAAGCUUCUUUCACUGAUGCAGAAUGGCAGCCUGUCUGCCACUCAGACUCCCAGAGAGGGCACCCCAAGGCAAUCCAAGGCCAGGGUGGGCCCCGGGGUGUGCCCAGGAUGUGCCUAGAGCCCAGGUCCUCAUCGAAGGCCGGAUCUCCAGCCACCUGCCUCUCAGCUCACAGACUCUUCCUAACAACAGGCUGAUUUCCCCCUCCCUUGUGUGAUAUACAAGUUUACCAGCAAUAGCUGAUGUCUCCUAUUGGCCCUAAGAAGGCCUGCAUUAG